UACGUAGGGUGCGAGCGUUGUCCGGAAUUAUUGGGCGUAAAGAGCUUGUAGGCGGUUUGUCGCGUCUGCCGUGAAAAUUCGAGGCUCAACCUCGAACUUGCGGUGGGUACGGGCAGACUAGAGUGUGGUAGGGGAGACUGGAAUUCCUGGUGUAGCGGUGAAAUGCGCAGAUAUCAGGAGGAACACCGGUGGCGAAGGCGGGUCUCUGGACAGUUCCUGACACUGAGGCACGAAGGCCAGGGGAGCAAACGGG
rnacentral:rRNA from 1 species